rnacentral:misc_RNA from 1 species
GUAGCAAAUCUUGUGUUUUUGUUCUUCUAUGAUUUGAUUUGGAGAAGAAGAAGAGGGUGUAGUGUUAAUGAGCUUUAAAUCUAAUACCCAUUUCAGAAAAUAGUAUAUAUAAUGAUGGUCCAAGAUCAUUCAUCUCCUAAACCCUCAAAACCCCUUUUUAUGAAACACAAAGUUUCACACUAUUCUGAGACUAAAAAUCUUGAUUUUUCCACAUGGGUAUCUGAGAACUAUGUUAAACUAUUUGUGGUUUCGUUGUUGACUAUUAGUGUGGCAGCCCUGUUCUACUUACGUACCUCUAGUGUACCCACCACAGUCCUAUGCUUCCAAAAUUCCCACCAAAGCCAGCCUCAGAAACCAAAGUUACCAAAACUUGAUCUUGAUUCAGUACAGCCGAUUGUAGAUAAGUCCUCUCCCUUUUCGUCGUUUCAUUCGGAGCAGUGGAUUAUUGUGUCUGUAUCAGAUUACCCAUCUGGUCCACUACAGAGUCUUGUUAGGUUAAAGGGUUGGCAAGUUCUUGCAAUAGGCAAUUCGAGAACCCCGAAAGAUUGGAACUUGAAAGGUGCUAUAUAUCUUUCUCUGGAACAACAAGCGAGUUUGGGGUUUAGGGUAACAGAUUUCCUUCCUUAUGAUUCUUAUGUGAGGAAGAGUGUGGGGUAUCUUUUUGCAAUCCAACAUGGUGCGAAGAGAAUAUAUGAUGCUGAUGAUCGUGGGGAAGUGAUUGGUGGGGAUCUUGGGAAACAUUUUGAUUUGGAGUUGGAUGGUGCCGCUGCUAAGCAGCAAAGGAUUUUGCAGUAUAGUCUUGAG